rnacentral:rRNA from 1 species
AGCAGCCGCGGUAAUUCCAGCUCCAAUAGCGUAUAUUAAAGUUGUUGCAGUUAAAAAGCUCGUAGUUGAAUUUCGGGGUUAGUAGGUUGGUCGUGCCACUGGUACGUACUGGUCUCACUGAUUCCUCCCUCUUGAAGAACCGUAAUGUUAUUAAUUUGGUGUUGCGGGGAAUCAGGACUGUUACUUUGAAAAAAUUAGAGUGUUUAAAGCAGGCUCACGCUUGAAUACAUUAGCAUGGAAUAAUGAAAUAGGACGUAUGAUCCUAUUUUGUUGGUUUCUAGGAUUGACGUAAUGAUUAAUAGGGAUAGUUGGGGGCAUUAGUAUUCAAUUGUCAGAGGUGAAAUUCUUGGAUUUAUUGAAGACUAACUACUGCGAAAGCAUUUGCCAAGGAUGUUUUCAUUAAUCAAGAACGAAAGUUAGGGGAUCGAAGACGAUCAGAUACCGUCGUAGUCUUAACCAUAAGCUAUGCCGACUAGGGAUCGGAUGAUGUUAAUUUUUUAAUGACUCAUUCGGCGCCUUA